rnacentral:rRNA from 1 species
UACAGAGGUCCCGAGCGUUGUUCGGAUUCACUGGGCGUAAAGGGUGCGUAGGCGGUCGGGUAAGUCUGAUGUGAAAUCUCACAGCUUAACUGUGAAACUGCAUUGGAUACUAUUCGGCUUGAGAGUUGGAGGGGGGACUGGAAUUCUUGGUGUAGCAGUGAAAUGCGUAGAUAUCAAGAGGAACACCAGUGGCGAAGGCGAGUCCCUGGACAAGCUUCUGACGCUGAGGCACGAAAGCUAGGGGAGCAAACAGG